GUGCUGGCUUCAGCAUCACAUACACUAAAAUUGAAAUGAUACAGUGAAGAUUAGCAUGGCCCCUGCACAAGGAUGACACGCAAAUUUGUGAAGCAUUCCAUAUUUUC